GGGCCCUUGUAAUAUACGUUGUCUUACCAAUACCUAGUCUUGGUUACAAGUUGUGUUUCUGUUGGGUAGAUUGGGGAAUCUGAAGUUUUUCGCAUCAAUCAAACAACUUUUAUACCUUUGAAGGGGCCACAGACAGUAGAAGAAGAAAGAGUGACCGAGCUUUUGGAAGCUGUUUAACUCUGGAACAUUCUAUUUCCUCUAGUCAUCUGGUGAAGACCCAAUUGAUGCUACAUUAUGCACCCAAAAGCUUCAGCAAAAUCGUGGAACAGACAACAGAUCUACCUAUUCUUCUGGAAUAGGCUUUUGCACUUACCAUUGCAACACUAUGGAAUUGAUUUUUCUCACUGGCUGUUACGAGUUACAUGUGGCAGUGUUGAAAUCCGUACGUUGAAACCAGGAGUUCAAGUAGGGUCGCACAAAGUGAGAUUCUCACGCGGCCCCGAGGCCUCUUCACCAGCUCUAGAACGCCAUUUGAAGCUCAUGCAAGAGCGUUAUCAUGACACAGCUACCGUGAAUCUACUCGGUCUCUACAUGGUCGGUGCAAAAGAAGGGGAAGCUUCACUUAGUCAACUCUUCCAAGCUGACCAGAAACGCUGUUAUGAGUCGAUGCCUCAUACCAUGUUCGACUAUCACCAAGAAUGCAGAGGUGGAAACCUCCAGAAUCACGCAAAAUUCAAACAAAGUCUGCAGCCUAUCUUUGAGCGCCAUUCGUUCUUCUUAUUCAAGAAUCAGCAAGUUUUAUCUCAACAAAAAGGAGUUAUCCCAACCAACUGCCUCGACUGUCUUGACCGAACAAACUGCUUGUAAAUAGUGCGCAGAAUUCAUCGGCUUAGAGAUCUUAGUGCUUCAAUUGGAUGCUCCAGAACCUCAAACGAAACCCAACAACAACACAAAGUUCGCGCUAUUUUUCCGGUCAACGUGGGUGAACAGCGGAAACAAAAUCUGUAAAAUCUACCCUGGAACCGGAGUUAUCGGGUGGACCAAAGACUAUGGAUGGCAGCGAGCAGUGAGAACGCCAAAGCCUAGGCAACUGAGCUACAAAAGGUGCUUUCACGGGAUCGCCCAUUCGCGUUACUGACCUAUGUUCAACUUGUUGGCGUAUGUCGCUACGUUUUUAUUCGGCACGAAUUAGCGGUUGACGUG